UUCUACUCGCUUUUAAUAUCUUAAAUGUAAAUUUAUUUUUCAAAAUUGAAUACCUGCCUAGAUUAAAUAAAUUAUAUUACACUCAGAAUUAAAUUUCACAUUAUUUUAAAUGUCAGUUAAACUAUUUAUAUUUAUUUUGCGUUCAUAGAUGUUAAAACAAUUACAUUUCAGUCACCAUGAAGUUUCUUCAAAUUUUAGUCUUGAUAGUUCAAGUAAUGGAUGUUACAACAUCGGAAGCGACUAAUUCGGCAUCAACACCAGUAACAACAGCAUCAGUAACUACAAACUUGGCAACAAAACUAAGAACUCAAACGCCAACAAGAACAGUUAGUGUAACAACAACGAAAGCAAGAGCGCCCUGUAAAAGAUUCCUAGCUUUAUCAACAUUUGCUGCAUCAACCAGCCCUCCACCAAAAACAUUACCACCAACUACAAGUAAGAUUUGCGUACACGCCAUUUUGUAGAAUUAGGUGUUUGUAAAUAUUUUGUUUUGUAACUGAAAACAUUCGAAUGCUUUUUAUUAAAGUAAUCAUUAGUGUAGGAAUAUGCAUUUUUUUCGUAUUAUCAUCUGCAGAAUGCAAAAUGACUUGCUGGUACCCGAGCCCGAUGAUGUGAGGAAUCGAUGAGAUUUGGAAAUGUUAUAACACACAUUCUUAGGUCUAGCACUGGUUUAGAAUAAACGAAAAACAGAAUAUAACUUCAAUCGAUUGGAGUAUGGUUGUUUAUGUUUUGAUGUAAAACUUUCUAGUUUAGCCUUGGUAGUCGACGAAAAACUCCACCUUGAAUAGACGGAUCAAUUUAUUUCCAGUCGAGCUUCAGAUCAGUAGAUGUUGUACAUGAGCCAGUGGAUUGCAUUGCUACGCUGAGCGAAACUUGACGUUGUUUUAGUUAGCACUGACGCAAUCAAUUUGUAAAAUUUCUUGGCGAUCUAAAAAGGCAUUGAAGUAUUCCACACAAUUGCACAUUCUCCAAUCUGAUUAACUGCUAUUUCAGUUAUAAAUAAUUCAGUAUUCAAUUAUUCAAAAAUUGUUUAUUUCAGCUUCAUGUGCUGUGUUGUUGGUCCAAAGUUUCUCUGUGAAAACAUGUAUGCCCCUACCCCAUGUCCUCCACCAAACAAUUACUGCAUUAAUACAAUAACAAACCACAAAGAUGGGACAAAAUCAGUAGACAGAGCUUGUGGUAAUUUUGACACUUGUUACCGUGAAUGGUUCCUAGGAUCCUCGGACAACGACAAAUGCCGAAAACUGAGCGAUAAUGACGAGGAGCGACUCGACUUUCAGUGCACAUUUUGCUGUAUUAAAGACAACUGUAACACUCCACUGCAUCCAUCAGAUGACACCUUGUACAAACCUGUGAAAUGAAGACAUUACACACUUAGUGCCUGUAUUUGAAAUAUUUCGCUAAUAAAGAAAUAUCCAAGGGGUUA